rnacentral:misc_RNA from 1 species
AUAAAUCCCAUGCUAAAACUAGCCAAACUACUCCACUACAAAGGCUUCCAUAUUACCUUCGUUAACACCGAGUACAACCACAAUCGCCUCCUCAAGUCUCGAGGCCCUGACUCUCUCGAUGGCCUCCCUUCCUUCCAAUUUCGCACCAUCCCCGAUGGCCUCCCUCCAACCGACACUGAUGCCACCCAGGACAUACCAUCCUUGUGCCAGUCUACCAGGAAAACCUGCUUGGCUCCCUUUAGAGACCUCCUUUCUAAGCUCAAUGACACCUCUUCAUCAAACGUUCCUCCUGUAACUUGCAUAGUUUCAGAUGGGGUCAUGAGCUUCACUCUUGAUGCAGCAC